rnacentral:rRNA from 1 species
UACGUAGGGGGCUAGCGUUGUCCGGAAUCAUUGGGCGUAAAGAGCGUGUAGGCGGUCCGGUAAGUCCGCUGUGAAAGUCGGGGGCUCAACCCUCGAAUGCCGGUGGAUACUGUCGGGCUAGAGUGCGGAAGAGGCGAGUGGAAUUCCUGGGUGUAGCGGUGAAAUGCGCAGAUAUCAGGAGGAACACCUAUUGCGAAGGCAGCUCGCUGGGACGUAACUGACGCUGAGACGCGAAAGCGUGGGGAGCAAACAGG